rnacentral:rRNA from 1 species
CCUACGGGAGGCAGCAGUGAGGAAUAUUGGUCAAUGGGCGCGAGCCUGAACCAGCCAAGUCGCGUGAGGGAGGACGGCCCUACGGGUUGUAAACCUCUUUUGCCGGGGAGCAACGGGCGCCACGUGUGGCGUCACUGAGAGUACCCGGAGAAAAAGCAUCGGCUAACUCCGUGCCAGCAGCCGCGGUAAUACGGGGGAUGUGAGCGUUAUCCGGAUUUAUUGGGUUAAAGGGGUGCGUAGGCGGAUCGUUAAGUCAGUGGUCAAAUUGAGGGGCUCAACCCCUUCCCGCCAUUGAAACUGGCGUUCUUGAGUGGAGGAGAGGUAUGCGGAAUGCGUGGUGUAGCGGUGAAAUGCAUAGAUAUCACGAAGAACCCCGAUUGCGAAGGCAGCAUGCCGGAUUCCGACUGACGCUGAGGCACGAAAGCGUGGGGAUCGAACAGGAUUAGAUACCCUUGUAGUC